ACUCCUACGGGAGGCAGCAGUGGGGAAUAUUGCACAAUGGGCGCAAGCCUGAUGCAGCCAUGCCGCGUGUAUGAAGAAGGCCUUGGGUUGUAAAGUACUUUCAGCAGUGAGGAAGGUGGGUAUGUUAAUAGCAUAUUCAUUUGACGUUAGCUGCAGAAGAAGCACCGGCUAACUCCGUGCCAGCAGCCGCGGUAAUACGGAGGGUGCGAGCGUUAAUCGGAAUUACUGGGCGUAAAGCGCAUGCAGGUGGUUGUUAAGUCAGAUGUGAAAGCCCGGGGCUCAACCUCGGAAUUGCAUUUGAAACUGGCAAACUAGAGUACUGUAGAGGGGGUA
rnacentral:rRNA from 1 species